GACCGAUGCUCCCAAAGGCCUGCGGACCCAGAGUCCAGGCCCACCCUAUUUGUCCUGAGUGCCUGGCUGGCCUCUAUGGGCCCAGAAUACAGAUCCCAGAUCCAUCACGAUAGACUCAAGGGCCAGGCUCACCUCAGUGAACCUAGUCUCCAGGCCUGCUCCUACAUAGCCAGACGGCAGGCUGAGCUCCAUGUAUUAAAAUACCAGGUGGGUCCAUCUGCAGACCCAGGCACCAGAUCCACCUGCUUAAGGACUCCAAGAGCAAGUCCAUCUGUGGACACCACCAGACUCUGUGGAGGGGCUGACUGCUCAAGGGCUUUGCCUGCAAAAGUCAGCCUACAAAACUUAGAGGUACCUACAUCCUCGAAUGUGCAGACGCCAACACAGUGACACAAGGAUUGUGCUUAUCAUGGGAACAUGAUACCACCAAACAAAACUAAAACUCCAAAGAUUGUCCCCAAAGAAUUGGACAUCUAUGAAUUGUCUGAGGAACUCAAAAAUAAUCCCCUUAAAGAAAUCCAAUAAACUAUUAUUUUUUAAUUUAUUGUAUUUGCUGGGGGUGAACAGAUUCUGAUAGAUUCUGCCCUGCUGGUUCUGCCAAACAUGCCUAAGAGUGUCAGCAGAGCUCCCACUUGACCCACCCAAGAAGCCUGCCUGAUCUGCUGGACUGGCAAUUCGAAAUGUCAAGACUGGUCUGUCGUCUUCUUCCGUGUUGUUGUGUUGUUCUUCUAGUCCUCAGGGAAGAAAAUUUGGCAGAAAAUGGUGAAGAUAUCAACAGAAGCAUAACAAAGAGGAAUACAAACCACUCCUCCCCAACACAUGCUGGCUCUCACUCUCUAUGAAAGAAAGAAAGAAAGAAAAAGAAGAAAGAAAGAAAGAAGAAAGAAAAAAAGAAAAAGAAAGAAAGAGACAAAGGAAGAAAGGGAGGAAAAAAGGAAGGAAGGAAGGAAGGAAGAAUGGAAGAAUGAAUGAGUUUUGGUCAGUUAGAAAUAGUGAAACGUAUAUUCAGGAAUAUUCUGGUAAAAUGCAGUUCCUGUUUUCUUGAUUGGAGCAUGACAGAGAGAGACCGAGCAUGAGUGGGGGAGGGGCAGAG